rnacentral:rRNA from 1 species
UACAGGGGGGGCAAGCGUUGUUCGGAAUUACUGGGCGUAAAGGGCGCGCAGGUGGCUCUGUAUGUCUGCCGUGAAAGCAUACAGCUCAACUGUAUUGUGUCGGUAGAAACUGCAGGACUUGAGGCUGGGAGGGGCUGGUGGAAUUCCCUGUGUAGCGGUGAAAUGCGUAGAGAUGGGGGAGAACACUCGUGGCGAAGGCGGCCAGCUAGACCAGUUCUGACACUGAGGCGCGACAGCGUGGGGAGCAAACAGG